GAAGGAGCCGGCUUGCUGGCGAUCGGACCGACGCGGUUUUCAGAGUGACCGCGUUAUCGUUCAUCGCCAGCAAGCCGGCUCCUAC
rnacentral:misc_RNA from 1 species